UUUGAUAAGCCGACAUGGGACA
rnacentral:miRNA from 1 species